CGUUUAGGGGUAAACCUGAGAAACCCGAAAGGUCGAAGGGUGAAAUUCAUUCGCGUUUCGCCGCAGGCGUUAAACGGAGCCGUGCGACGGAAAGCCCUCGUGGCGUACCGCGCCCUCCGAAUCUCGAACCUGUGACGAACGCGUGCACUUUUCACCUGGUAGGACGUCGCGAUCCGUCGGGUGUCGGUCUACGGUUAGCGGUGGAGCCCGUUCGUCGUCUUCACGGACGUGUACGAACGAACCCGCUUGUCCCGGCCGACCCGCUCGACGGUAUUCGAAAGGUUCGUGGCCGCUCACUAUAUAGAGCGUCCGACUCGUCGGCAAGCACGCCAGAUUAGUCGGUGACCGGACCUAGUGCCGAUCCCGACUUCUGGCUACUGUUGGUCGCGAAGUUCUCGGACAGACCACGUUUUUAACCGAUCGGCGACGCUAUAGCUUUGGGUACUUUCAGGACCCGUCUUGAAACACGGACCAAGGAGUCUAGCAUGUGCGCGAGUCAUUGGGAUUUGUACUAAACCUAAAGGCGCAAUGAAAGUGAAGGUCUUCCUUGCGAAGACCGAGGGAAGACGGGCGGAUCGCCAUUAAAAGCGACCGCCUCGCACUCCCGGGGCGUCUCGUUCUCAUCGCGAGAAGAGGCGCACCAAGAGCGUACACGCUGGGACCCGAAAGAUGGUGAACUAUGCCUGGU
rnacentral:rRNA from 1 species